GCGCAGCAGGCGAGAAACUUUACAAUGCGGGAAACCGUGAUAAGGGAACCUCGAGUGCUGAUGCCCAGCAUUGGCUGUCCACAUGCCUAAAAGCAUGUGUUAGCAAGGGCCAGGCAAGACCGGUGCCAGCCGCCGCGGUAACACCGGCGGCUCGAGUGGUAGCCACUUUUAUUGGGGUCUAAAGCGUCCGUAGCCGGCUUGGUAAGUCUUCUGGGAAAUCUGGCGGCUCAACCGUCAGGCGUCCAGGAGAUGCUGUCAGGCUUGGGACCGGGAGAGGUGAGAGGUACCUCAGGGGUAGGGUGAAAUCUUGUGA
rnacentral:rRNA from 1 species